CUGACUGCCAGUAGGGAAGGAUCUCUUCUGGAGAUUCACUCCACCAGAGUCUGUUUUGCAAGCCCAAGAUAGGCAAUUGGUGAGACAGCCAGCUACAGGCAACGUUUUCAGGAAGGAUUAACCUUAAGACUGUGAACCAAGGGGCCUGGACUGGGAGAGUAUGAAAACUACAGAGCUCUGCAAACCCACAGGUGUGUGCAGGGGAAAGGAGGAGCAGGAGGAACAAGGGUAGGGAACAGGCGCUGCAAGGAGUAUAUGAGCCUGGAUACGGUGAGUCAAACUCACUGCCAGCCACUGGAAUCAGGCUGGGGAAUAGACACAUUGGCACAUGGCGCCAGUUUCUGGAGUCACUGGGGUCCCAGCAUAGGCUACUGGAGCCAGGCAGUUGGCAGGACUGAGAUGGCACACCCAGACUUCUGAAUGCAGUGUGACUGAAGGACGGCUGUGCACAGUUGCAGCCAGCUUCAAGCUAGACCUGCUGGUGACCAGCUGAUUGCCUGGCCCUGUCUGCAUGUGCCUGUGCAACUCUGGGAUAGGUGCUCAACUUGGCUACUGGCUGAACCUGCAAAGGGGAAGGCAGCAGAUAUGUCCCCAACCCUGGCAGAGAUCUCAGGUCCCCAGACUGGGCAGGAGCAGGUUGAGGAGGCAGACAUGCUCUCUUCAGUCUUUAUCUGACUUUACAAUCUUCAAACACCUGCAGCUUGGAGAAAAUUUCAUUACAGAACACAAGAAGGUGGGAAAAAGAAAAAACAUGCUUUCUACUUGAGAAUGUAUAUUUGAAACUGAAAAUAUUUGUACUGCUCAGACUCCAGAAAUGUAAGUGGCCUUCUAGUUCACUAAAAUUGUUAUAAGAAACCCCUCUAUGCCACACUUGUAGCUUGUAAUGCAAGAACAAACUUCUCUGAUGAAACCAAAAAUUUAGGCAUGGUAAUUAAAUAAAUCUGAAGUAUCUCUUUCAGAACAUUCUUAGGAAUACACAAAGCAGAUCUGCAUUAGAUAUUGAGUGAUCAGAUAGUCAGGAAAACUAUGACGAGAAGAACUCUGAUUAUUUCAAUUCCUUUAUUAAUAGUACAGUGCAGUAACAUCAACUGAAAUAAAUACAGUUUAUAUAUAAUAUAAAAAUAUAACCCUUAAAGUUUGUACUGUGCUAGAA